CCCCCCCAUCCCAUUCUCGCCGCCGCCCUCAUCUCGCUCCGGUAAUCCUACCUGCCGGAUCCGACCGAUCCUCUCCAACUACAGCAUCUCCAUCCCCCUGUUCUUUUCUUCUGUUGAUCACAGCACGCGCUGUUUUUGUUUUCCCCGCUCUCUCUGAUCGCCGCAGUUUUUUCUGCCGUUGGAAUCCGGAUCUUCGUCGUGGUCGCGUCGCCGGUGGCCGUCGCGAGCAUCGAAGCACACCUGCAAAAACUCUCAUGUGAUGACACCUUCAGUACAAAGCUGAUUCUGAAGGCUGAAAACAUCAAAUUCUGGCACUUAAAGUUCUUCUGGUACAUACUUUAGCGAACCACACCUGCGAAAAGUCUUACGUGAUGAUACCAAAGGCUGAAAACAUUGAAUCCUGGCACCCGGCAGGCGGGCAACUUGAAGUGGCGCUGCUCCAGAUCAUGCAACGCCACCACCACGAAUCCCUCCGUCAGCGCAAGCAAACUGAGAGAGCAAAGAUGGAUGCUGUGAGGAGUGCGGCGCGGGUUGCAGAUCUUCUCGUGGCCACGGUUGACGGCGGAGUGCAGGAGCUCUACAUCAACGAGAAGCGCAUAGAGCUUGAAGCCCGCGCGCUUCUUGCUACAAUCGCGUGGUACAGGAAGCAGACUGACCAGUGGCUUGCUGCCACCAAUGCAAUCAACUGUCUUGAAGGAAAUUGGAGAUUUUGAGAACUGGAUGAAGAUCAUGGAUUUUGACUGUAAAAGUAUAAAUGCGGCUAUCCGUAACAUUCACCAAUCCUAACUGUGCCGGUGACUAUGGUGUUAGGAAGAUUUUAUCCUGUUCCUACUCAGUUUAGCACUGUUUUUUUUUCUGAGUUGUCAACUCUGUUGUAUAGGACUGGUUUGGUCUACAAAAUUGAAAAAUUCCCAAGCUUUUUACUGGGAAGCCUCCUCGUAGGCAACAAUAUAUUCUGUUGCAAAUAUUUGAUCUACCUCAGAAAAUAAAUAUUGGUUCUAAGGAGAAAUCUUCAUCUACUAUAUGCCAAACUGUAUACUCUGACUAUAUUGUCAACUUUUUCACUUUGGUAAUGAAUAUGAUGAUAUAUUCAUGAUAUGAUAUAUUACUAGCUUUUCCUCAUUGCUGAUAUAGGCUCUUGCAUAUCUGCAUAUCAAGCACAUACAGUAGGAAAAUAUCUAAUGCCAAAUAAGCAUGAUUGCCGCAUUAUUUAAUUGUUAUUUUAAUCAUCUUUUGAUCAUAGACCUGAACCCUAGACAAUUAAUAUGAAAUUUGUUGAUUUGCAUGUACUAUGAUUAUGAGUUGUACUAGUAUUUAAGGAGCUAUAGUCAAUGAACUGAAUGUUGGCAUUAAGCCAAGUAAUGAUCAAUGCCAGCAUGAUAGGUCAUUCUGAACAGCAGUUCUUAAACAUUGUUAUUACAAGUUUUUCUUUUACAGUCUCUUUAGAAGGUUGAAAGCAUUUGGAGAACUUCAAAUUGAAGGGAAAAUUUCCAUGCCUUGAGGAAUUAACAUUCCCGAGAACAGCAAACCAUAAGCAAGCGUGUCUUUCUGAUGGGCUGCAAGCAGAUGCGUUCCGUACUAUGGUGGGCAACUAACAAGAAACUGUAGGUGCUACGUACGCAUUGGCACCAAUGGAGUUUGUGAUUCUUCCUCCUGCAGCCACCAGCAUUAUGACAGGAGGAGCAAGUACGAUGCAAUUGUUGUGACAGGAGAUGCGAGGUUCACUAGGUGAGCACCUUCCGAGCUGAUCAUUCUCAGGAGCUUCUAUUUAGAUUUGUACAUGCUGCUGCAGUUUCAUGUCGCACAGUUAAAGGAUCAGGAAGCAGCAGCAGGAAGAAGAUGGAGACUGCAGAUGAUCAUGAGUACUGCUACUAUUACUAUGAAGAACAAGCAUCAUCUGUUGCUGUUGGGGCCUUAACGAUGGCGAACACUGGUACUAAUAGUUGUAUCGGUACACUAUUAUUGAUGAUGAUGAUUGACGGGGCUCUGUGCUGCUCAUGAGGCGAGGAAACAAUCCCGGCCCAUGCGAAAUUGUGCGUUCGGUUAAGCCCUAGCGUGGAUUUUAGCCCAGCCCACCACGGGGUUUCCCUGUUCUGUAGGCCCAGGAAAAAAUCACCUACUCAAGAGGAGCGGAAAAAUUCCUCGAGAGGAGCGGCGGCGCAAUGAACACACAGACGCGACGGCAGGGGUGGCGUGCGGCGCGACCUGGAGGCGACGGCAACGGCGACGGCAUGGUUCUCUCCUCCGGCCGCCACCUUCUCUCCGAUUGCACGUGCACCAAUUAGAGUUGGAGAAGACCAACCUCCUCCUUCCUGGGACCCUGUACCCUCUCCAAGAGGAAAUGUACCGCACUCAUAUUUUUUUGACUUCCACCGAAGAAAUGUUGCAAGAAUCCUAAAUUGAUCAGAAGAUUCAGAACUAUCCCGACUUCGCAAAAUUCGUCGACGGAAUGGUAAACAAGGGACAGAUUUUUGUUAUAGAUGAUUCUGGACAAGAUGGUGUCAUGGAUCAGCAUCUUUAAGCAGGAGGGGCAGCUGACUUCAGACAUCGUAGAAUUCAGUUCUGCUUUGGUAGCUGUUCACGUUUUAUGUUAUGACUACACCAUGAUUGUAACACUAGCGUUCCCAGCUUCGUUUCAUUUUUCUUUUUCGUUUGAACCUGUAUACAGAUUGACAUUCUGUUGUAAAUUUUCUUGGGAUUGAAUAAAAAGUAAUGCUGAUUGUUGCAAGUUCA